UGAUAUGAGUUGAGGCAUUUAUUCCGGCAGAAACAAGACCCAAAGGCUAAGACUCACAAGUAGAAAGAUGAACGUCUCUAUGUUAAUAGCCGCUGUACUUGUACUGGGUGUUGUCUUACCUCACACGAACGCAUGGAAAUGUGCAAGUUUUUGUAAUGCAGAAGUUCACAAGUGUUUCACGUCGUGCGUUGGCUUUGAAGGAUGCAAGUCGUGCGUAAAUUCGGCCGAUAAUUGUCGAAACGAAUGUCGUCGUCGUCGCGAAUUAGGAGAGGAUUUGCACAAGCGAUUUCAACUCACACCGGAGGACAAAUCACAAUAGGCCUGACGCAAAUUUAAGGAGAUGAGAAUUUUAAUGUCUAUAGGGACUGAUCGUACUUGUAUGUUAGUGAGUCUAUACACUGGAAGCUUAAGUUUACUACACGCAUGUAAGCUUGUGUUAUUCUUUGAUUGUUUAGACUAGCAAGUUUAUUGGGAAAUGAGUCUUUUAAGUUGUUAAGCUGAAUUUAGGGUUUAUUCGUAUUGAAUAAAGGAAUUUUAAAACUAAA